UCCUUCGAGCCGGAAUCGAACCAGCGACCUAAGGAUAUCCACACGUGUCAGAUCUACAGUCCUCCGCUCUACCAGCUGAGCUAUCGAAGG
rnacentral:tRNA from 1 species